rnacentral:rRNA from 1 species
AUUGAACGCUGGCGGCAGGCCUAACACAUGCAAGUCGAGGGAUGAAGGGAGCUUGCUCCUGGAUUCAGCGGCGGACGGGUGAGUAAUGCCUAGGAAUCUGCCUGGUAGUGGGGGAUAACGUCCGGAAACGGGCGCUAAUACCGCAUACGUCCUGAGGGAGAAAGUGGGGGAUCUUCGGACCUCACGCUAUCAGAUGAGCCUAGGUCGGAUUAGCUAGUUGGUGGGGUAAAGGCCUACCAAGGCGACGAUCCGUAACUGGUCUGAGAGGAUGAUCAGUCACACUGGAACUGAGACACGGUCCAGACUCCUACGGGAGGCAGCAGUGGGGAAUAUUGGACAAUGGGCGAAAGCCUGAUCCAGCCAUGCCGCGUGUGUGAAGAAGGUCUUCGGAUUGUAAAGCACUUUAAGUUGGGAGGAAGGGCAGUAAGUUAAUACCUUGCUGUUUUGACGUUACCAACAGAAUAAGCACCGGCUAACUUCGUG